rnacentral:rRNA from 1 species
UACGUAGGGUGCAAGCGUUGUCCGGAAUUAUUGGGCGUAAAGAGCUCGUAGGCGGUCUGUCGCGUCGGAUGUGAAAAUCCAGGGCUCAACCCUGGACCUGCAUUCGAUACGGGCAGACUAGAGUUCGGUAGGGGAGACUGGAAUUCCUGGUGUAGCGGUGAAAUGCGCAGAUAUCAGGAGGAACACCGGUGGCGAAGGCGGGUCUCUGGGCAACUACUGACGCUGAGGAGCGAAAGCGUGGGGAGCAAACAGG